UAAAGAACCGGUGACAGGUGCUGCAUGGCUGUCGUCAGCUCGUGUCGUGAGAUGUUGGGUUAAGUCCCGCAACGAGCGCAACCCUCGCCUUUAGUUGCCAGCAUUCAGUUGGGCACUCUAGAGGGACUGCCGGUGUCAAACCGGAGGAAGGUGGGGAUGACGUCAAGUCCUCAUGGCCUUUAUGUCUAGGGCUACACACGUACUACAAUGGCCGGUACAAAGGGCAGCCACUCAGCGAUGAGGCGCUAAUCCCAUAAAGCCGGUCUCAGUCCGGAUCGCAGUCUGCAACUCGACUGCGUGAAGUUGGAAUCGCUAGUAAUCGUAGAUCAGCAUGCUACGGUGAAUACGUUCCCGGGCCUU
rnacentral:rRNA from 1 species